rnacentral:lncRNA from 1 species
UGGAGGAGCUGUGUCCCGGGCUAUAGUCCCCAGGAGGCCCCAAAUCCAACUUAAACUCACAACUCUUCUGUUGUAUGGUUUUCUUUAAGUGGCCGCUACUCUGGCUAACAGCUCCCAUUUACCUCAGAGGCUUCACACCCCUCCCCCAGAGCCUACAGUCUGCAACCUGGGACACAGAGGCCCCACACCUUUGCCUCUGGGCUACUGAGUGGGCAUUUGCACUGAGUCUCUGUUCAGUCAACCCCAAGGGAGAGAGGCCUCCAGUCUUGCAAUUCCUGCAGCCCACAGUCACCAGCAUGUCAUCCUGAGGAAGGCAGGUUCAUUCCAGGGGCGUAGUGUGCCUUAGAGCUGAGGGGUACUGAAACUGAUUUCCCAUGUCUGGGUCCUGAGAAUGGCCCUAACCCCACCCUGGUCAACUCUGGUCAUGGUAACUUUGUAUCCUGCCCCAUAGGAGGUUCAAAGUGAAUGCCAGAUCCACAGAGCAAGUUCCCAGGACUGGCCCUCUCUAUCGCAGCACCCACUCUGGGCUACUGAAUUCUGGAGAGAGGAGAGGGUUUCCCCUCACUGUGCCUAUGACAACUCCUUUACAUCCCUUUAAUCACCUCUGUCAUUUUCCAGACUCCAUCUCCUGGGGACAGCAGACUCAAUUCCUCCUCUCUCCCCAAAUUCCCACUCCUCCCGUCCCCUGCCACCAGGUCUCCCCUCCCCACUCAGGGGCCUCUUUAGCCCCUCCCCCAGCCCUACUCACAGGGCCUCACCCCAUUUGUGUCCUCUCACCCAGCACCCACGCUACCUCAGAAGAUCCCCUCAAGACCCUGCCUGCUCCCUGCAUUCUGCAGGACACCUGUCUCCCGCCCACAUGCAGGGUCUGUCAUAAAGUCCCUGUGAGGGCCGAACUGAAAAAUCUGUUCAGAAUCCAGAUAAAAUUCAGACCCAGACCAGCAGUCCAGGGCAGUUCCUGGAAGGAGAAGGAGAGGGGCUCUGAGAGGAGCAUCUGGUCUCAGAGUCCUGCAGGGGUGAAAAGCUAUUCUUCAAGGGUCCUAGUGAGGAUGAAGUGA